rnacentral:rRNA from 1 species
AAGUCGUAACAAGGUCUCCGUUGGUGAACCAGCGGAGGGAUCAUUACUGAGUACUACACUCUCUACCCUUUGUGAACUAUUAUACCUGUUGCUUCGGCGGCGCCCGCAAGGGUGCCCGCCGGUCUCAUCAGAAUCUCUGUUUUCGAACCCGACGAUACUUCUGAGUGUUCUUAGCGAACUGUCAAAACUUUUAACAACGGAUCUCUUGGCUCCAGCAUCGAUGAAGAACGCAGCGAAACGCGAUAUGUAAUGUGAAUUGCAGAAUUCAGUGAAUCAUCGAAUCUUUGGACGCACAUGGCGCCUUCCAGUAUCCUGGGAGGCAUGCCUGUCCGAGCGUCGUUUCAACCCUCGAGCCCCUGUGGCCCGGCGUUGGGGAUCUGCCACGGCAGGCCCCUAAAACCAGUGGCGGACCCGAAGGGCCCUCUCCUUUGCGCAGUAGCAUUCGCCUCGCAUCGGGAGUCCUCGGCGUCCUGCCUCUAAACCCCCCACAAGCCCGCUUCGGCGGCACCAAGGUUGACCUCGGAUCAGGUAGGAAUACCCGCUGAACUUAA